rnacentral:ncRNA from 1 species
AUUCGACUUAGAACUGGUACAAUUAUGAGUUUCUUAAGGUAGCCAAAUGCCUUGUCAUCUAAUUAGUGAUGUGCAUGAAUGGAU